CCUACGGGAGGCAGCAGUGGGGAAUAUUGGACAAUGGGGGGAACCCUGAUCCAGCCAUGCCGCGUGUGUGAAGAAGGCCCUCGGGUUGUAAAGCACUUUCAGUGAGGAAGAACGCCUGGUGGUUAAUACCCAUCAGGAAAGACAUCACUCACAGAAGAAGCACCGGCUAACUCCGGGCCAGCAGCCGCGGUAAUACGGAGGGUGCGAGCGUUAAUCGGAAUUACUGGGCGUAAAGGGCGCGUAGGUGGCUUGAUAAGCCGGUUGUGAAAGCCCCGGGCUCAACCUGGGAACGGCAUCCGGAACUGUCAAGCUAGAGUGCAGGAGAGGAAGGUAGAAUUCCCGGUGUAGCGGUGAAAUGCGUAGAGAUCGGGAGGAAUACCAGUGGCGAAGGCGGCCUUCUGGACUGACACUGACACUGAGGUGCGAAAGCGUGGGUAGCAAACAGGAUUAGAUACCCUGGUAGUC
rnacentral:rRNA from 1 species